CAAGUCGAACGGCAGCCAUUGUAGCAAUAUGGUGGCGAGAGUGGCGAACGGGUGAGUAACACGUAGGUGAUCUGCCUCUGGAUGGGGGAUAGCCCGUGGAAACACGGGGUAAUACCGCAUGAGGCCUUGUGGGUGAAGCCAUGAGGUGAAAGGUGCAAUUGCACCGUCUGGGGAUGAGCCUGCGGUCCAUUAGUUAGUUGGCGGGGUAACGGCCCACCAAGACGACGAUGGAUAGCCGGCCUGAGAGGGUGUACGGCCACACUGGAACUGAGACACGGUCCAGACUCCUACGGGAGGCAGCAGCUAAGAAUCUUCCGCAAUGGGGGAAACCCUGACGGAGCGACGCCGCGUGGAUGAUGAAGGCCGUAAGGUUGUAAAAUCCUUUUGUCGGUGAAGAAUAAGGGGGGGAGUGGAAAGCCCUUCUGAUGACGUUAGCCGACGAAUAAGCCCCGGCUAAUUACGUGCCAGCAGCCGCGGU
rnacentral:rRNA from 1 species